AAUAAAUCAAUUUUUCAGUUUUUAGAUAUAAUGUUUAACUCUUCGGCUUAUUCAAAAUUUUUUAUGAUUAAUAAUUUUAUUUUUAUUAGAUGAUAAAACAUUAAUAGUAUUUUAUGUUUGACUAAUUUUUUUAAAAAUUUCUUGAAAUUUUUUCAAAUAAGACAGAUGGUCAAACGUUUGACACAAAAAUCGA
rnacentral:pre_miRNA from 1 species